GAUCCUGGCUCAGGAUGAACGCUAGCGACAGGCUUAACACAUGCAAGUCGAGGGGCAGCACGGUGUAGCAAUACACUGGUGGCGACCGGCGCACGGGUGAGUAACACGUGUGCAACCAACCCCGUACCGGGAGAUAACCCGCGGAAACGUGGACUAACAUCCCAUAAUACUGGAGGAUCGCAUGAUCUUUCAUUUAAAAUUCCGGUGGUACGGGACGGGCACGCGCGACAUUAGGUAGUUGGCGGGGUAAGGG
rnacentral:rRNA from 1 species